GCUUGUCUCAAAGAUUAAGCCAUGCAUGUCUAAGUAUAAGUAGUAUACAGCGAAACUGCGAAUGGCUCAUUAAAACAGUUAUAGUUUAUUCGAUAGUAAAAUUACAUGGAUAACCGUGGUAAAUCUAUGGCUAAUACAUGCGCAAAGGCCCGACCCUGAAGGGCUGUAUUUAUUAGAUACAAAACCAACCCGGGCAACCGGUCCUUUGGUGAUUCAUGAUAACUUUGCGAAUCGCAUAGCUUUAAUGCUGGCGAUGGGUCAUUCAAAUUUCUGCCCUAUCAACUUUCGACGGUAGGAUAGAGGCCUACUGUGGUGAUAACGGGUAACGAAGAAUAAGGGUUCGAUUUCGGAGAGGGAGCCUGAGAAACGGCUACCACAUCCAAGGAAGGCAGCAGG
rnacentral:rRNA from 1 species